rnacentral:rRNA from 1 species
GACGAACGCUGGCGGCGUGCUUAACACAUGCAAGUCGAACGGAAAGGCCCUGCUUUUGUGGGGUGCUCGAGUGGCGAACGGGUGAGUAACACGUGAGUAACCUGCCCUUGACUUUGGGAUAACUUCAGGAAACUGGGGCUAAUACCGGAUAGGAGCUCCUGCUGCAUGGUGGGGGUUGGAAAGUUUCGGCGGUUGGGGAGGGACUCGCGGCUUAUCAGCUUGUUGGUGGGGUAGUGGCUUACGAAGGCUUUGACGGGUAGCCGGCCUGAGAGGGUGACCAGCCACAUUGGGACUGAGAUACGGCCCAGACUCCUACGGGAGGCAGCGGUGGGGAAUAUUGCACAAUGGGCGGAAGCCUGAGGCAGCGACGCCGCGUGCGGGAUGACGGCCUUCGGGUUGUAAACCGCUUUCGCCUGUGACGAAGCGUGAGUGACGGUAAUGGGUAAAGAAGCACCGGCUAACUACGUG